rnacentral:lncRNA from 1 species
AGUCAGAGAAAUAGGUGAGAGGGAGGCUUAGCUCACCAGGUUACAAAGGACAACAGUUUAUAACCCCUCACAAAACACAGACCUUAACAUAGAUGUGUGUGGCACCCCAUGUGCUACAGAUGAAGCCCUACAAAUGUGACUGUUCACACUUGCACUGAGUGUGGGCUGCCCAUCUGCAGUGACAGAAGGCAUCACACACCUGAAAACAGCUGCCACAUACAGAAGUUACUUCCAUUCUGCUCUUCCUCUUAGGUAAUCGUUGCUUCGGCUGUCCACAGCUUUAUAUGGGUGAUGAGAGAGGGCACUGUCAGAAAACCUUUACUUUAAAGAAGGGAAAAACUGUCCCUAAAUGUAUAAUACUGUGAGCGCAUCAAUCAAACUGCUCCCACUUGGAGUCACUUCAGUGAGCAGACUGUGCCUCAAGUUUUACAGUACCAGAGAACACAGCUGAUGCUUUCUUGAGGACAAUAGGAUGACAGAAAAGAAGACUGUGAACUAAGACAGAAGGUAAUCGUCUGCAUUAUGUGUAUCUGGUGCCCUUUCCCCUUGGUCCUGCCAGCAAGUGUCCAACACUUGUUUCCAGUAGCCCAGAAGAGUGCAGAAUGGUGGCUGGGAGAGGAGCGGCAUGAAGGACGCCUUGAAAGUAAGGAUUUCCACCAGAACAGCUUGUCAACAGCAAACUUGCUUGUAUUUUGGACAAGAAAUGCUCUGGAUGCAGAAGCAUAAUCUUCUAGAAACACUGAUCCUUCAUUCCUCUGUCAGAAAGGAUUUGAAACACCAGCACUUGAGAAUAUUACUUUUCUUGUCAUCACCACCACAAAAUUUAGACAUAUCACUGGGGGCUGCUGACUCCGAACAAAAGGCAUGAAAUAAAGUUGGAAUAAGAUGUAGCCA